rnacentral:rRNA from 1 species
CUUGCUGCUUCGCUGACGAGUGGCGGACGGGUGAGUAAUGUCUGGGAAACUGCCUGAUGGAGGGGGAUAACUACUGGAAACGGUGGCUAAUACCGCAUAACGUCGCAAGACCAAAGAGGGGGACCUUCGGGCCUCUUGCCAUCAGAUGUGCCCAGAUGGGAUUAGCUUGUUGGUGAGGUAACGGCUCACCAAGGCGACGAUCCCUAGCUGGUCUGAGAGGAUGACCAGCCACACUGGAACUGAGACACGGUCCAGACUCCUACGGGAGGCAGCAGUGGGGAAUAUUGCACAAUGGGCGCAAGCCUGAUGCAGCCAUGCCGCGUGUAUGAAGAAGGCCUUCGGGUUGUAAAGUACUUUCAGCGGGGAGGAAGGUGUUGUGGUUAAUAACCGCAGCAAUUGACGUUACCCGCAGAAGAAGCACCGGCUAACUCCGUGCCAGCAGCCGCGGUAAUACGGAGGGUGCAAGCGUUAAUCGGAAUUACUGGGCGUAAAGCGCACGCAGGCGGUCUGUCAAGUCGGAUGUGAAAUCCCCGGGCUCAACCUGGGAACUGCAUUCGAAACUGGCAGGCUUGAGUCUUGUAGAGGGGGGUAGAAUUCCAGGUGUAGCGGUGAAAUGCGUAGAGAUCUGGAGGAAUACCGGUGGCGAAGGCGGCCCCCUGGACAAAGACUGACGCUCAGGUGCGAAAGCGUGGGGAGCAAACAGGAUUAGAUACCCUGGUAGUCCACGCCGUAAACGAUGUCUACUUGGAGGUUGUGCCCUUGAGGCGUGGCUUCCGGAGCUAACGCGUUAAGUAGACCGCCUGGGGAGUACGGCCGCAAGGUUAAAACUCAAAUGAAUUGACGGGGGCCCGCACAAGCGGUGGAGCAUGUGGUUUAAUUCGAUGCAACGCGAAGAACCUUACCUGGUCUUGACAUCCACAGAAGAAUCCAGAGAUGGAUUUGUGCCUUCGGGAACUGUGAGACAGGUGCUGCAUGGCUGUCGUCAGCUCGUGUUGUGAAAUGUUGGGUUAAGUCCCGCAACGAGCGCAACCCUUAUCCUUUGUUGCCAGCGGUUAGGCCGGGAACUCAAAGGAGACUGCCAGUGAUAAACUGGAGGAAGGUGGGGAUGACGUCAAGUCAUCAUGGCCCUUACGACCAGGGCUACACACGUGCUACAAUGGCGCAUACAAAGAGAAGCGACCUCGCGAGAGCAAGCGGACCUCAUAAAGUGCGUCGUAGUCCGGAUUGGAGUCUGCAACUCGACUCCAUGAAGUCGGAAUCGCUAGUAAUCGUGGAUCAGAAUGCCACGGUGAAUACGUUCCCGGGCCUUGUACACACCGCCCGUCACACCAUGGGAGUGGGUUGCAAAAGAAGUAGGUAGCUUAACCUUCGGGAGGGCGCUUACCACUUUGUGAUUCAUGACUGGGGUGAAGUCGUAACAAGGUAACCGUAGGGGAACCUGCGGUUGGAUCACCUCCUUACCUUAAAGAA